rnacentral:sRNA from 1 species
CUAUCCCACCUGCUUCCCCCUGACUCAGUUUACCUGCAACAAUGGCAGAUGUAUCAACAUCAACUGGAGAUGCGACAAUGAGAAGGAUUGUGGGGACGGCUCUGAUGAACAGACCUGUCCUGAGCCUGCCGACAAUGACUGUGGGGACAACAGUGACGAAGCCGGCUGCAGCCACUCCUGUUCUAGCACCCAGUUCAAGUGCAACAGCGGGCGUUGCAUCCCCGAGCACUGGACCUGCGAUGGGGACAAUGACUGCGGAGACUACAGUGAUGAGACACACGCCAACUGCACC